AAAAAAAGAAAAAAAAAAGAAAAAGAAAAAGAGUCACGGUGAACUAGACUACCAAAAUUUCUUUGAAUCAAAGGAUGACAGGGUGCCAAAACGAUAAACUUACCCCGGAUCACAAUCUCACGAAACCUUUCACGGAAAAGCAAAAUGUGAACAAAUGUGAAAUGGAAAUCACCAUCUUCGUAGUGCACGUGACCACAUGACUUGAGGUGCUCCACAUUUGCAAAAUUGAAGCAUUCAACUAAUGAAUAGCGGCUUUUUCUCCCUUUUUUCUUAUUUUAUAAUUUAUUUCGAGGAGGGGUUUAGUAAAACUCAUGGGAAGAAAGGAAAAAAGCUAUGGCUGUUUUAAUGAAGGAAGCAAGCACUCGUAGACACGCGCCAUUCGUGAUGUCACCACAAGCUUAUAUGUAGUUUGAAGGCUGGGUUGUCCCAAAUCAAUAAUGUCCUGCCUUAAACUGUUUGACAUAACACUGGCAAGCUUCAGCAAAAAAAAUAAAAAAAUAAUGCAUACGCCUUACUCCAUGCAAUGAAAAUAACAUGUUAACCUGGUAGAUUAUACUAACCAUUGCCAUUCACCAGUUUCUUUUGCAUGCCUCUUAACAGCAUGAAACAGGCAAUCCAAACUGUAUAACACCAAUCCGAACAUGCAUUGCGACUCUUUUUCCAGUCCUUGGUCAACAAAUGAUUGGUACUGCAAAAUCCUUUUUUCAACUUCCACUAAGAGUAGCCUCCUUUGGCACCGAGCAAUUCUCCCCCUUCCUACUGCUUUAGUAUCCUGAUUUAUGCAACCAUUGUGAUAGCAAAAGAACAAAAAUUAUUAAAUUUUCAAAACUUGAUCGCUAUAACAUAAAAUUGAAAUUUGACUAGGUUGAAAUCUUUAGCACAAUCUAUCAAUCUCUGUUACAGAAAAUGGUUUAGGAAUCCAAAAUCUAUACAUGCAAGAAUUAAUUCAAUGUCUCAAAAUUUUUUAAAGGAGAAACUAAUGAUAAUUUGAACAAAAUAGGUAUAUGAUUUUGAAAGAAAGAGACCCUCCAUACUCGUUACAAAACACUGUAGUCAGUUAGCUCAUCCCCAAUGCAUUACUUGAAACUUGUAGCCAUUAUAUCUGGCAACGAUGGCUGCUGGACUUAGAAAUUUAUCAGAUAUACUUGAAUAAAUACCAGUAUAGUGCACAAAUCUGCCUUGGAAAAUGUGACCAUUCAAAAUGUAUCUAUAAAUCCCUCUUUCUGCGGUCAGCCCUUUUACUGUUUGGACUGUAGUUUCACUCCACCACUAACAUAUAUUCUUUUCUUCCCUACACACAAUUUUAUUGGCUUCCUACUAACACAUCACACAUAACUAUAUAAGUUCAUAUGCAACAUAUUCAUUAUCCUGUAUAGCAAGAUAAAUUGCGGCAGCAUCAGCAGCAGAAGUCUAACUCUCACCUCAAUUAAGUCUACGAAACAAUCAUAUAUAUUAAGGUGUCAAAGCACUGAAAAUAUUGAUUAGUUACAAGUCGGUUAAACCCACAACUUAACAGAAUUGGGUCCUCUCCCAUAUUUAGUUUUCACAAAUCUCUACAUAAUAAUAGUGCAUUUGGAUAAUUUUAUUGAAAGCAAAAUAAAAACAACCAAAUUAAUUUAAAUGUCAAAUAAGGUGACAUUUGGAUAGAGAAUUUGAAAUCCAAAGGUUUGAAUUUGAGUAAAAAAAAAAACAUUGUACUUCUAAUAGAGAAGAAAACUUAUUUGAGAGUGAAAAUCUUGGUCUCUUGUUCAACCGUAAGAAAAGGAGAGAUAAUCUUUUAAAAAAUAGGAAAAACAACUGGGAGUACAUCCGCUGUCAAAAACUGUUAUUCAAACAUAUCUAAAAGGACCAUUCAUUAAUCUAAUCAGCCAAAAAGGAAGUAUUUUAAACCUCAUUCAAGCAAUAAAAAUGAAAAAGGGAGAAAAUAAAAACCUCUAUUUCAAAUUUCCUGUCCAAACUAUCUAAUGGAAAUUCAUUUUUCUAACAUGCCAUUUCCUAAGUUGGAAUAUGUAAAUUUACCAUAUUCACCUUUCUAUGAUACACAAUGUUUCUACAGCAUUUUAUAAGGGUUGUGAAAAUUUUUAUUUAAAAUUAAAUUAUCAAUAAGAGUGUUUACUAUGUUCAUAAAGAGAAAAAUGAUUUGUGAAAUCAAGCAACCCAACCACAAAAUAAUGUCAUAAAAUAAGAAAAAGUAAAUCAAUGAUUCCAUGAGAAGAGUCAGAAACUCAAGAUGGUGUAAACAAGAUGAACAGAAAGUUCAGAUAUGUAUUAUCAUUUAGCCAGUGUAGGGCACUGCCCAAUCCAUACUGUCUUCCUAUUGUCCUACACUAAUAUAACAUAUAAUUCAAUUCAAGUGAUUAUCCAGAGAAAAAAUCAUUAAUAUUUCCUUACCUGUUUAAACCAUGCACGUACUAACAUUAGCAGCAUAAGAGAGAGAAAAAAUGCUGGCAAGGCAGCUAAAAUAGCAAAGUUGAUUUCAUUAGCCUUGAGAAUCUGAUCGAGUUCAAGCAUUGCCGUCUCAAUGUCCAGUUUUAGCUUCUGAACCUGGAUUAGCAAAGCACGAGCAAGCUCCCCACUCAGAAGAUUUUGAAUAGGAUUCAUAAGUUCCUUCUCAUACCUUGCCAUAACUAUUUCGAGCAUUUCCUGAUCUGAUGCAUUCUCUGGAAACUUUUGUCCUUUUGUCUGCUCGCUAAAAGCCAUUAACAUUCUGUGCAAAGAAUUUGCAGUCAGCUGCACUUCUUCUAUCUCCAUCACUCCUUUGUGUCUCUUCCUGAAUGUAUCAAAAAGUUCAUCUCUAAUAGACAAAAGUGGCUGCUCCACAUGUUCAUUAAAGAAGCUAACAGUUGAGUCCUUUGCAUCACGAAUCCAAUUGUCAAUAUCAGGACUUCCCAUCAAACGACUAUGCCUCAGGAGCCACAUAGAACAAACAGAUAGACCAACUGCACCACAUGUGUAAGGAAUCCAGUACUGUGUUACUUUCUUUGGCUUUUGGUGUUUGGCCACUAUAAUAGAUAAGUAGGAGCCCAAUUUCUGUAUAUUUUUAUUAACCAAGUUGAUGGCAUCUGCAAUUUCACAUUCAGUCCACUGAGAGCCUUCUUGAUUAACUUCUGGCAGUGUCUCAAACAGCAAAGGGAACGAAUAGCUUCCAUCAACAGAAGAAUCAGCCCUGCGAAUUGCAUGUAGAUGGCCAAUUGAUGCCUCCAAAUUUGAAAAUAAACCAUUAAUAGUAACUAGCAAUGAGGGGAAUGACUUUCCUGGAUCCUUCACUAACUCUUUUCCACAUCUAUCAACUUCCAUGUAAACCUCAGCCAAGAAUGUAGCAAGCACACGUCUUAAUGUCGUUAAAACAUCCAGCCUCUCAGAUAUAUAAGCAGAUGCAGAUUGGCAAAGAUGGUGCACUGAAGGACCAUCAGCAAUGCAUUCUUGCACCAACUGAACUGUUCCAUAAAUGAAAGCUCGAGGCCCUCUCUCGAAAAUCAUGAAGUAUAAUUUUCGAGAAUUAGAACUCUCUGCUCUAGAUUGCCAAAAUCGCAAAUUCUUUUCUACAUUAUGCAAAUUUACUAAGAUGUGGCCCAUUAUAUCCUCCAAUACUUCAUAUACCACAGAAGCCUCUUUCACGACCAGAGAAGAUUCAGGAGAGUAGGAUGGCAAAGGGAGAGGGAGGCAAGGCCUUCGUCUGCGAGAAGAGGCGCGAGCUGUUUGGCGGGAGAAAUUGAAGAUUUUCCCGAUAACAUUGGAGUUGGACGAGGGAAGGAAAGUGAAGAAUCGGUUCCAUAGAUAGUGGGAGUAGAAUGAGACUAGGGUUUUGACCCCUUGGGGUUCGUCUUGAGAAGGACGAUCCUCCAUGGAUACUCUGCGUUUCUUCUGGGUCUGUCAGUCGGUUUAUGAGUUUUCAACUGAUGUGAUGUGGCCUCCAAGUUAAAC
rnacentral:misc_RNA from 1 species